CCCCAACGCACAUGUUGUUGACCCCGCCUGUAGUAGCACUACAGGAGCUAAUGCAGCCACCCUGCUCCUCUGGCAGCACCAUAGGGCUAGUGUGUUGCCUCCCCCAACUCCCAAGCUGUGUGCGCUAUAGGAGUGACUGCAGCUGCUGCUAGCUCAGCAUGCCUGUGUAUGGGCCAUAGGGCAGGGGUGCUGGCCUCCACCUUGUAUGUGGACCCUGAGAGGUAGUUACUGCCUUCAACUUCGCAGCCCAGGCCAGCACCAUCAGGGCUUGGGCCGUUAUAGGGUGACUAGAUGUCCUCAUUUUAUAGGAACAACGAGGAGUCCGGUGACACCUUCAAGGCUAACAGAUUUAUUUUGGCAUAAGCUUUUAUAGGAUAUGAGAAGAGAUUUUAAAAGGAAAAACUACACCACACAUUUAUUGGACGGUUCUUCCUGAUAAAUAGCAUCUUGAGUGGGAACCUAUCCUGGUUCUUUGUGGCAGUGUUGAGGGAAUAUAAUGGAUUCUAGCUGAGAAACUGCUAAUAUCUUACAAGGCUUGGCCAUGUGAGGUGCUGAGUGUCCCCUGCGCUGGGCUGAGAGGGCAUGCAGGAUCUUGUAAGAUGGGGGACCGGUUGGCACAUGUGAAGUGACUUCCCAAAGCGGUGGCUGUGGCUCCCUACUCAGGAGUAAGACUGAAGGUAGGUCUGGUGAAAGCAGCACCCUUGCUGGGAGUGGGACCUGCUACCGGUGCCUCUCUCCUGUUGCACUGGAAACCUGAAGUCCAGCAGGGGAUUUUCUACUGCAACCGUACGAUUGACCAACACAGCCAAGGACUCCACCCUUCCCAGGACCUGGGGGACUUGGCUUCCCAGGAGGCCAGGGCACAGGCUGGACG